GACGAACCGUGCGAACGUUGUUCGGAUUCACUGGGCUUAAAGGGCGCGUAGGCGGGCGGUCAAGUCAAGGGUGAAAUCUUUCGGCUCAACCGGAAAAGUGCCUUUGAUACUGGCCGUCUCGAGGGAGGUAGGGGCAUGCGGAACUUCCGGUGGAGCGGUGAAAUGCGUAGAUAUCGGAAGGAACGCCGGUGGCGAAAGCGGCGUGCUGGACCUCUUCUGACGCUGAGGCGCGAAAGCCAGGGGAGCAAACGGG
rnacentral:rRNA from 1 species